rnacentral:rRNA from 1 species
CAAUAGCGUAUAUUAAAGUUGUUGCGGUAAAAAAGCUCGUAGUUGGAUUUCUGUUGAGAGCGACCGGUCCACACCAUGUAUGCGUAUCUGGCUUGCUCUCGGCAUCCUCUCGAUAGACGUUACUGCGCUUGAUUGCGUGGUGCGGAUCUCGGGACUUUUACUUUGAGGAAAUUAGAGUGUUCACGGCAGGCUUUCGCCAGAAUACAUUAGCAUGGAAUAAUACUAUAGGAUCUUGGUUCUAUUUUGUUGGUUUCUAGAAUUGAGAUAAUGAUUAAUAGGGACAAUUGGGGGCAUUCGUAUCAACACGUCAGAGGUGGAAUUCUUGGAUUGUGUUGCGACGAACUACUGCGAAAGCAUUUGCCAAGGAUGUUUUCAUUGA